AGUGAACGCUGGCGGUAGGCCUAACACAUGCAAGUCGAACGGCAGCACAGUAAGAGCUUGCUCUUACGGGUGGCGAGUGGCGGACGGGUGAGGAAUACAUCGGAAUCUACUUUUUCGUGGGGGAUAAUGUAGGGAAACUUACGCUAAUACCGCAUACGACCUACGGGUGAAAGCAGGGGAUCUUCGGACCUUGCGCGAUUGAAUGAGCCGAUGUCGGAUUUGCUAGUUGGCGGGGUAAAGGCCCACCAAGGCGACGAUCCGUAGCUGGUCUGAGAGGAUGAUCCGCCACACUGGAACUGAGACACGGUCCAGACUCCUGCGGGAGGCAGCAGUGGGGAAUAUUGGACAAUGGGCGCAAGCCUGAUCCAGCCAUACCGCGUGGGUGAAGAAGGCCUUCGGGUUGUAAAGCCCUUUUGUUGGGAAAGAAAAGCAGCAGGUUAAUACCCCGCUGUUCUGACGGUACCCGAAGAAUAAGCACCGGCUAACUUCGUG
rnacentral:rRNA from 1 species